AGUGAACGCUGGCGGUAGGCCUAACACAUGCAAGUCGAACGGCAGCACAGUAAGAGCUUGCUCUUACGGGUGGCGAGUGGCGGACGGGUGAGGAAUACAUCGGAAUCUACUUUUUCGUGGGGGAUAACGUAGGGAAACUUACGCUAAUACCGCAUACGACCUACGGGUGAAAGCAGGGGAUCUUCGGACCUUGCGCGAUUGAAUGAGCCGAUGUAGGAUUAGCUAGUUGGCGGGGCAAAGGCCCACCAAGGCGACGAUCCGUAGCUGGUCUGAGAGGAUGAUCAGCCACACUGGAACUGAGACACGGUCCAGACUCCGACGGGAGGAAGCAGUGGGGAAUAUUGGGCAAUGGGGGCGAGCCUGAUCCAGCCAUACCGCGUGGGUGAAGAAGGCCUUCGGGUUGUAGAGCCCUUUUGUUGGGAAAGAAAAGCAGCAGGUUAAUACCCCGCUGUUCUGACGGUACCCAAAGAAUAAGCACCGGCUAACUUCGUG
rnacentral:rRNA from 1 species